CAGAGUGGGCCUGCACGGUGCCUGCUGUCACCACCUCGAAGCCAAACGUUGUCUCAGCUCAUUUAGAGACUUCCCAAGAGGGGCUGGAAAGAGAGGUCUAAAGAGCACGAAGAAUCUCUGUCCAUCAAUCUGAAGUGGGCUUCUCUCCCUUAUCAACAUCCACCCUUGGAAGUGAAAUGUACAAUGGAAAAAAUACAUAUUUCAUGAGAGGACAGCUUAUUGAAUUUUCAGAAAAUAAACACAACUAUACAAACGGAACUCAUACAAAACGAAAUUCACUUCCAACCCUCCCACAAGCUCACUGUCAUUGCCACCCACCGAACACAGCCGCUACUCACUUUUGGCACCACGGAUCAGCUUUGCAAGUUCUGAAAUGUAUGUAAGUGUGGCAGGCAACACAGGUUCUUCUGGCCUAGCCAUCUCUCUGUUUGCCUAUCAGUGUGAUAUUACCCUCGGGAAAUUCAUCUGUUUGAGUUGCAUGAAACUGUAAACAUCUUUUGUUUUAUUGCUACAUAGUAUUUUGCGGUGACUAAGCGGUUGUUUUUAUUCAUUCUGCUGUUGAUCACAGUUUCCAACUGGGGCUACUACAGAAAGUGCCAGAAUGCCGGUGAGCAUCCUAGAGUGUGCAUUUUAGUGAAAGGUGAAUGAAUUUGUAAAGUGUGUGCGAGUUCAUGUUAGUGUAUGUGUAUGUAUAUGUGUGUGUGCACGUCUGCACAUGCAUGCGGAGGCCAGAGGUCAGCAGCCUUCCAUCUUGUUUGACGAGACAGGCCUCUCAUUGGCCAAGAUCUUGGUAGUUAGAGUAGGCUAACCAGCCAUUAAGCCCAGGGAUCCAAGUGUCUCCAGCAACUGGGUGCUGGGACAAGUGUGGACCAAACUGGUUUUUUGCAGUUAUUCUUUCUUUGCUUUUGAGUCUUUGGUUUUGGUUUUUAACUUGGGUUCUGCUGAUUGAACUGAGGUCCUCCUCACGCUUAGAAGGCAAACACCUUAUUGACUGUGCCAUCUUCCUUCCCAGCUUUGUGCUAGGUUAUUUCCUGGUAUUUCUUAUGGAAGCAACAUCAGCAGAUCAGCCAACCUCUGCAUAGCCCAGCAUCCCUUGAGAACGAAGAAACCAAUUCGGAGGCUCAAAGGUACCAAUGUUAGGAGACACAGCAAAGUGGUUUCCAAAGCGACCAUGUCCAUUAGGAGAAAUUCUUAACUGAGCACCCAGGUGUGGGAUAUCGGCCACGAAAAUGAAAGGCCAACAGGUGGGCAAGCCUUCCCUCUCUUCUUUUUUUUUUUCUUUUCUUUUUUUUUUCUUUUCCUUUUUUUGGAACUGGGCACCGAACCCAGGGCCUUGCGCUUGCUAGGCAAGCGCUCGACCACUGAGCAAAAUCCCCAACCCCUUUUCCCUCUCUUCUAAAUCAGUUUCUCUUCAGAUGUGUUGAGAGGACCUAGGUAUUUUGGUAUUUUGCAACCUUUUUGACUUGGGCUAAAAGAUGACUGGUGGGUCAUUUUGAAAGUCAAGGGCACCGGUGGAACUAAGACUUCAGAAAUCUCGACCUCUGACCCAGGAGCAGAGACUUACAUUCAUCCCAGAAACAAUGGCCGCAGGUAAACAGCAGUCAUGCACCCCUGCCUUACCCCACACACUAUACUCACAGCCUGUGAGAAAGGAUGGCUCACACCGAGGUCUGGAUCAUGGUCCUAAAUGUUCAGGGGACAGAACUCAGUGAAAUCAGACUGUCAGGGCCAGCAUGGGAAACAGGGCUGGGGAGGAAGGAGACGCUGAGUAAAUCCAGGGCGAGUGUCCUGUCUUAAGGAGCCCGUUACUUUUCAGCCCUGCUGAUUUUUGCCAUAUGGGGAGAGAGAGGCUCAUUGCUGCCAGAUUUUCUGACUUUUCAGGAGAAGCCGAGAAACUAAACUUUUAAUGAUCUACUGCAAAAUGCAAUAUUGGUGGCUGACUUCAGGAGGUGAGACACUGGGGCGUCUGUCCCUGGAGAUGUCCGUGCUCACAACUGAGCAUUUCUUACUCCCCACCCCCAAUCCCAGCACCUCUCCUUCCAUUAACCCCUGUGCUUAGGAUCUAUCCUUUAAAUAAAAAAGUCUUUUCAUAAACUCGAACUCUAUUUCAAAGGGAAAAGAGAGAGAGAGAGAGAGAGAGAGAGAGAGAGAGAGAGAGACUGAAUGUUAUUAGCCAGUCAAAGCACAGGCAAUGGUACUUCUGACCCAUCACCCACUGGUUAGCCACCGCCCACCUAGAAAGGCCUAGGAUUUUAGACUUACAAGAGAGGUCUUUUACUUGACACAGAACAUCCAUAAAUACAAACAAAGGAUUCCCAGCUCCAGAGAGCAGGAGACCGGAUUCCAGCUCCCUCCUCCUCCUCACAUGAGUGAACCCCUCCCACCGCCACAGCCCUUUACUGCAACCCUGACAAAGCCAUCAUCAACUACAAGUGUCACAGGCACCGCAGACACAGCACCUCCCGCCUGAAGGAAACCAGAUCUUUGUGGGUUUGUUUUUCCUUUAUGUCUGGUGAUUAUGUGUCCUAUAAUUAUCCCAAGUCACAGGCUUGGCCCCCAGCCUUACUUCACACAGCAGAAUGGUGGACUCCCUCCACCUGGAGCAGUCAAGAAACUAGCAGGCAACUUAGACACUAAGGAAGUUACGGGUGACACAGUAGACCUAGUUCCCAGCCAGCCAACUAUCCAUGCUUGAGUUCUCAAGCGCUGGGUGAGGCUGAGCUGGCUGUCAAGGCGUGGGUUGGGGCGGACAUUUCUUCUCCGCUGUGCUCUCACCACUCAGCUUGAAGACCAUCUCCCUGCACUGCCUUCGUUCUCUUCGCUUUGACACACGUGCCUCGCACUUACACAUGCACACACGCAUGCAAGCAUGCAACAGCUCAGACGGUUAGCCAGUCAGAACUACCCGGCAGCAAACAUACAGGGAAUGGAUCUGCACUGGCUUUCUCUUGGCCUUGACACCCACUGAUGAGUUUCUAGCUAACUGUCCAGCAUACCUGGGGUCUGGAUAUGUUUGUGAUAAAAAAAAAAUCCUGUAGCUCCUGAAACAGAUGUGUCCGACCCCACGGGUACUGUCAGAAAAGCAGCAGGCAGACACAAUGCUGUUCCUGCUGUACUCAGUAGACAGGCAGAGGCAGAUGUCCCCACCCCCCCAGACAGGAAACCAGAGCAUGGAAAGGUAAUGAGGUCACUGGGGCAAAGGGCAGAUGAAAGGCAAGACAGAAGAGAUCCAAAGCUCUGAAACCCAGGGUACCUAUGUCACCCACAGGGGCAGCCUGUCCCCGACAUGGGUGACUAUUACAAACAUUCAAUAAAUUAAUAACCCGAAAGCUCAAUAAACAUUAGCUAUGUACCAGACA